GAUGAAUGCUGGCGGCGUGCCUAAUACAUGCAAGUCGAGCGAACAGGCAAGGAGCUUGCUCCUUUGACGUUAGCGGCGGACGGGUGAGUAACACGUGGGUAACCUACCUAUAAGACUGGGAUAACUUCGGGAAACCGGAGCUAAUACCGGAUAAUAUUUCGAACCGCAUGGUUCGAUAGUGAAAGAUGGUUUUGCUAUCACUUAUAGAUGGACCCGCGCCGUAUUAGCUAGUUGGUAAGGUAACGGCUUACCAAGGCGACGAUACGUAGCCGACCUGAGAGGGUGAUCGGCCACACUGGAACUGAGACACGGUCCAGACUCCUACGGGAGGCAGCAGUAGGGAAUCUUCCGCAAUGGGCGAAAGCCUGACGGAGCAACGCCGCGUGAGUGAUGAAGGUCUUCGGAUCGUAAAACUCUGUUAUUAGGGAAGAACAUACGUGUAAGUAACUAUGCACGUCUUGACGGUACCUAAUCAGAAAGCCACGGCUAACUACGUGCCAGCAGCCGCGGUAAUACGUAGGUGGCAAGCGUUAUCCGGAAUUAUUGGGCGUAAAGCGCGCGUAGGCGGUUUUUUAAGUCUGAUGUGAAAGCCCACGGCUCAACCGUGGAGGGUCAUUGGAAACUGGAAAACUUGAGUGCAGAAGAGGAAAGUGGAAUUCCAUGUGUAGCGGUGAAAUGCGCAGAGAUAUGGAGGAACACCAGUGGCGAAGGCGACUUUCUGGUCUGUAACUGACGCUGAUGUGCGAAAGCGUGGGGAUCAAACAGGAUUAGAUACCCUGGUAGUCCACGCCGUAAACGAUGAGUGCUAAGUGUUAGGGGGUUUCCGCCCCUUAGUGCUGCAGCUAACGCAUUAAGCACUCCGCCUGGGGAGUACGACCGCAAGGUUGAAACUCAAAGGAAUUGACGGGGACCCGCACAAGCGGUGGAGCAUGUGGUUUAAUUCGAAGCUACGCGAAGAACCUUACCAAAUCUUGACAUCCUUUGACAACUCUAGAGAUAGAGCCUUCCCCUUCGGGGGACAGAGUGACAGGUGGUGCAUGGUUGUCGUCAGCUCGUGUCGUGAGAUGUUGGGUUAAGUCCCGCAACGAGCGCAACCCUUAAGCUUAGUUGCCAUCAUUAAGUUGGGCACUCUAAGUUGACUGCCGGUGACAAACCGGAGGAAGGUGGGGAUGACGUCAAAUCAUCAUGCCCCUUAUGAUUUGGGCUACACACGUGCUACAAUGGACAAUACAAAGGGCAGCGAAACCGCGAGGUCAAGCAAAUCCCAUAAAGUUGUUCUCAGUUCGGAUUGUAGUCUGCAACUCGACUACAUGAAGCUGGAAUCGCUAGUAAUCGUAGAUCAGCAUGCUACGGUGAAUACGUUCCCGGGUCU
rnacentral:rRNA from 1 species